rnacentral:rRNA from 1 species
AACGAACGCUGGCGGCGCGCUUAACACAUGCAAGUCGAGCGGUAAGGCCCUUUCGGGGGUACACGAGCGGCGAACGGGUGAGUAACACGUGGGUGACCUGCCCUCAGCUCUGGGAUAAGCCUGGGAAACCGGGUCUAAUACCGGAUAUGACUCCAUGACGCAUGUUGUGGGGUGGAAAGCCUUGUGCGGCUGAGGAUGGGCCCGCGGCCUAUCAGCUUGUUGGUGGGGUGAUGGCCUACCAAGGCGACGACGGGUAGCCGGCCUGAGAGGGCGACCGGCCACACUGGGACUGAGACACGGCCCAGACUCCUACGGGAGGCAGCAGUGGGGAAUCUUGCGCAAUGGGCGAAAGCCUGACGCAGCGACGCCGCGUGAGGGAUGACGGCCUGGU